GCAACCAUAAGUUAAUUGGUAAACUUUUCAUCUACCACAUGAAUGUUGUCAGUUCAAAUCUGACUGGUUGUA
rnacentral:tRNA from 1 species